rnacentral:lncRNA from 1 species
UAAGGUCACACUGCUGGUUAGGAAUGGAUCUAGAUUCCAUUAGCUUCAAAAUCCAAGCUAUUUCUGUUAACUCACGUUGCCUCUAACAGUCUCGGUGACAAGAGCAACCCCUUACGUGUGAAUAGGGUGCUAGUUUGCAAAGUCGUUCUACCAUAUUUACUCAUCCGAGUUUCCAUCCAAUCCUGGAGGUAGUCAGGACAGGGUUUUAUUUAUGAAACCGAAAGGCAGGGGCCUCAAGCAUAUGUUCGGGGAUUUGGUGUGCAGUUGGAAAUUGGCAGGUCUGACACCCGCGCUGCCGUCUUCUAUCCAUUGCUUUAACUUGGCUUCAAACAAGCUUGUAGAGAGAAGCAGAUUGUGGGGAGACACACUGUCUGAAAACCAUGUUGCCAUCCCCCCAACCUUUGAUAUCCUGGGAAAACUCCAAAAAGCAAGAGCUUGAAGAGAACACAGUAAAAAGAAAAGGAAGAAACUAGAGAAAACCAACAAUGGAAGGUAAAGGGGGAUAACUGAGAAGGGAGACCUGAGAAGAAACAUAUAGCAAAAGAUAUUUAUCAAAUUAAAAAAAAAUUUAAAUGGAAUGGAGAAAUAUAGACCCAUUAGCAGAUUAAAGGGGGAAAAUGUAUUCAUCUCAAUUGAUGCAGCAAAGUCACUCAAAAUAUUCAACACCCGUUGAUAUUUUUUUUAAAACUCCA